UAUUUUUUGGUGUAGAACAAAAUGGGUGGGCUGUCCAGAAGUUCCUUAUGAACAAUUAGUGUGAGAAACCCUUCAACCACCAAGGUUGAACGGAGAUGAAGAUGAAGGCAAUGGUUUGGGCGGGGAGAUCUGGUAGCGGAUGAGUUGUAGGUGGUGGUGUGCUUGGGGAUGGUUUUAGAAGGCUGGUGAAGACGAUAGUGAGCGAUGGUGUUGUUGGAAACCUUCUCUGACGGAGGUUCGUGUCUCAACAUAAAGAGGCAUCAACUGUAAAUCAUGAUGGAAUGCAAAGGUGAUUUUGUAAUAUUAUUGUUUUUAUUUACAUGUA